UUCCACUUUCCUCUCAAACAGGGUUCACAUGCAUCUGCAUCUAUCCAGUUGAGUCCCUUCCUCCCCGUCUCCAUCACUUCCCUCUGUCCAUGAUCCACCUUCAGAUCCCUUCAUUUCUGUCUUCGUCUCCCUCACACAAAUCAGAUCUUUUACCCACACUUCUCUCCCUCUGUCUGUCUGUAAACCACCUCUGUCUGUUGCCCUCACUCCCAUCUCUCACCCUCAAGGCCGCACCGUAGCCAUCUUACUCUCACUUCUCUCCCUAUGCCAAAUCCCUCUCCCCCGUCGAUACCAUCCCUCGAGAAAUCCCUUAAUAGAUCUCAGAAAUUUUCCUCAAAAUCCACUUCACGAUAAAGCCCUAACACUGGCCACCAUUUCAUUUGUAUUUUUGUUGGGAUAAAGAGAUGAGCUGUUGUGUGGAAAUGAUGCUUCCGUAUCACAAUGACAUUACUUCCACAUUACUCAACUCGCUCUCCGCCUCUCUUCGCAGCACCAAGUUGGAGUCCUGAAGGCUUGUAGGAUCACUUAACAUUGAGGAAGCCUAUGGAUACUAGUUCCAGUAGCUAGCCUAUGGAUACGAUCAUAAUAGGCCUCUCGGUUUCUCAAAAUUUUGCAGGGAAAAUCAAGUUAUCAAUUCUUCAUAUAGGCCGAUAUACUUCAAUUGAUAAAAGAGAAAUUUAUAACAAAAGAAAAUGCACUCCAAAAUAGAGAAGAUGAUUUAUUGUUGCGCGAGUAUGAAGUGUCAAGAAAAUAAGAUAAACUAAUACAAAGAGAGAACGAUUUGAACAUCCAAAUGGAGGAAGUUUGAAUGUGGGUCGUAGAGAGUAGAUGUGGCCGUAUAUUAUUGUGUCUGUAUUGGGUUUUUUCUAUUGUAAUAGUUUUUUGUUUGUUCAGAUGAUAGAUGUAUCGACUGUUAUUGUAAUUGCAUACUUCUCUAUGAAUAUUUUGUAAUUAUGGAAUGAUU